CCCCGCAGGACCCCGGCUGCCUCUGCCCGGGAUCCUUAGGUCACUUCCAUCCAUUGUCCGGGCUGCGGCUCCCCGGGUUAAUCUCCCACUGAUGACCGCGGGCAUCUGCUUCCAGCUUCAAGUCCGUGUCAGCUGCAGAUCCUCUCGGGGUUUCCUCGGCCCCUUCCGCCCAUAACUGCCCACGCGGCCUCGGAGGCCCUUGUGAAAUGGGGGGUGGCAGGGCCAGCCCUGCCCUCCCCCUAGGCCAGGGGCGGAGCCUCCGGAAGAACAAGGCCCAGGGGCCUCCUGUGCCCCUCUGAUGCCCCAGGACCCCCCUCCACCCCCAGCUUCCAGUCACUUCACAACAACUGCGACCUGACCCCCGUGGCCACUCAUUCAUCGUGCAAACGCGGAGGGCCCGGGCUCUGCCGUCCUCUCUCCCACAGAGAACUCUGUCGCUUCUCCCCUUCCCUGCACUGAAAUCUGGGAGAGGCCAAGAGAUCCCCAAACAACGCAGCCUAGAGAACAGAGUGCCUUUCUCUCCCAGGGAGCAGUUCUGCACGCCCAUCACUCAGACACCCGGCUCCCUCCAGGACGGGGCUCUGCCACCCGGGGAGGCUGUGUCGCCAUCCCCAGGGGUUGUCGCUCAGCCAGCGAGGAGGUGCAGCUGCGAUCCACUGGCUGCCACGGAUCUGGGAGAGGAACGCAAGAUGCAGCGGCCGCGGCCAUGCCGAGCCCAGCUGCCCACCAGCAUUACGGCAGGACCCACGUGAGUGUGACGGAGAAGACAGGGAUGGCAUGGGGGGGGGGUGAGGACGACGCGUUUGCUCUGGACGCCUUUCCCAAGGCACUGAGGAAGGCUGCUGCCGGCCAUCUCCUCGGCCUGAACACACCAGGGGUACCAGGACUUCCCACGCAACCGUGCAUACGCGCCAGGGCAGAGCCCCGGCCCCCGCUUACGUCACGCGCCUGGAAUCUGAGGGGCUGGAGGGGCAACCGAUUUGUUUCCUGUAACAUCAGGAAUCUUCUUUAAUGUGGCUGGGGAAUCAAGGCUGUCGGCUUACUUCACUUCUACUCUAAAAACUAACUUUCCAUUAUCAACCCGUGUGAAUCCAAUGUGCAGUUUUUGCUUUUUUUCUUUUUUUAAGAACAAAACAAAGGGUGGAAAAGCAAAAACUCUGCUUUUUUUUUUCCUUCAAGAGGGAACUAUGUAAGAAUACAUAAAAGGCAAAAUUGGCUACUUGAAAUCCAAGAAUGGUUUUAAUGUGUUGGCCGAAAAAAAUAAACUGCAAAGUUCUGUGAGGUCUUCUAAAAAU
rnacentral:lncRNA from 1 species